rnacentral:rRNA from 1 species
AUGCUUUUUGAUCAGGCGUGCUCAUUAUUGGCGGUGCAGUUGUGUUGUGCUGCAGUCAUGUGCCGUACUGGAAUCGGAAUCGAUUGCUGCCUUGGCAAAACAGGCAAUCAUAUACAUGGUCUGAGAGUGUUUUUCAGAAUCUUCAGAAUCAAAAUACUGGCAGUUUGGCCUUGCCCAACAGGGAACAUCACCGCUGUCCUCGCAGCUUGCCGUCACCACUCCCGCUUCAUGGACGGCGUGGUGGACGCCUACAAGGUGCCGUGCCUCUACAAGGGAUUCGGCUGCGCCAUGGACGACAUCCCCUACCACUCGGCCGCCGACCACAAGGCCAGCUGCAAGCACGCGCCCUGCUACUGCUUCGACUGCCGGUUCGUGGGCUCGCCGGUGAAGCUCGUGCGCCACCUCGCGUCGCCGUCCGGCGCGCACGCGUGGCCCGUGGAAAAGAUCAAGUACGAGGUGCCCCAGCCGUUCGUCGUGCCGGCAUCGUCCGAGGACCAGCGCCGCCUGCUGGUCGCGGAGGACGGCCGCGUGUUCCUCCUGGCCGUGGGCGCCGGCAGGGAGCCGGCCGCGGCCGGCCGCCGCCCCGUCACCGUCGUGUGCGUCAGGGGCAACGCCGACACCAAGCCCCUGUACACGGGCGUGCUCUGGGUGGACGGCCCUCCGGCGCCCCCGCGCCAGCCGCUCGGGUGCAGCUUGAGGCUGAAGGCGACGGUGGCGAGCUGCUCCGUCCCCGGCGCCGUGGACAUGGAGCAGGGCUGGCUCCACGCCCAUGUCAGCCCCAACAUGCUGCACGUACGGAGAGUCCGGCGAGCUUCAUCUGCGCCUUUGUCUCACCAAGCUCUCCUGAAUUAG